rnacentral:lncRNA from 12 species
UGACAGUGCAGCCUGGAGAAGACUGCUCCUGUCCCUGGAACUGCUGCUAUGCUAAAUGAGUUUAAGUGUGGAUCUGUGCAUUGAGCCCCUCUUGUGGCUGCCUUCCUGUGAGCAAAAGCCCUAAAUAGCUGAGCCUUUGAUGUAUAGUGCAGUGCAGAGGCCUUUAAAUAACAGCCUUUAUCAAGCUCAUUAUUUACACAGCCACCUGGCAGGAGAAAACAUGAAGGAAAAAGCGCAUUGCAGGAAAUGCUGAUGGAGGCAUGUUUGCCCUGGCCUGACCAGCAGAGUAAGAGAAGACAUGAGAAUUUACAAGCUGCAGAUCCACUGCUCCAGCAUGGGUUUGCUGUGGAGAUCCAACACACGUACACAGAUUCACUGUCUUCAGAAUUCACUCAAGCAACAAUGACCAGGGUGGGCAUUUAUCGCUAUUCCGCCCCUGUGGAGUUCAGAGUCUUUGAAUCAAAGUUCAAGCUGGCUACAUGAUUUCAGAAAGGCUAAAACCAGGAUGAAUGCCCACAUUUGAGGUAAUUAUUGCCAUUAGGUCACAGUUUGUGUAAUGUAAGUGUAUUUAAAUCCUUCUUUUAAAAAAGCAAAAGUAUCCCAGAGUACCAGGGGAUACCCAUUGAAGCAAUCAGAAUCCAGAAUCCUGAUCAGUGGGUUUGCUUCCAAAGGAGCCAGUGGUCCCGGAGCACAAGGCACUCCCAGGACAGCCGCCAACCAGCCUAGAGCUCAGGCAAGCAAGCCUGCAACAAGCCUUUUUUAAUUUUUAAAAUUGUUUUACAGAAAAGGAAAAUAAAAGAAAAAAUGCCAAAAAAUAGACGGGUAACUCUUCUGAUCAGAAUUCCAGACCAAAGCUUUUCUAUCCGUCUUAUUCCUUUCCAAACAGUUUGCUAAAAAAUCAAAAUACAUCGGCUUAAAUAUUAACUCUAUGCCAGCACUGCAAAAACUCCUUGGCUAUGUUCUGAAAGUGGGAUAAACUUUGCUUUUGCUGAGCAUUGUUGCCCCAUUGCUUUCUGUUUCAAAGAGGAAACCUUGUUUGAAAGAAAAAGGAAGGAAGGAAGGAAGGAAGGAAGGAAGGAAGGAAGGAAGGAAGGAAGGAAGGAAGGAAGGAAGGAAGGAAGGAAGGAAGGAAGGAAGGA